rfam:Asian citrus Psyllid, Diaphorina citri - Florida Strain, whole genome shotgun sequence.
GCCUAGUUAGCUUAGUUGGUAAUGCGUCUGCCUUGUAAGCGCUAGGCCGCGGGUUCGAUUCGCGCCCGGGGCG